rnacentral:misc_RNA from 1 species
GGGGUGUGUGACGGGGGAAGGGCAUGGUGCUGCUAGUAUUUGAAUUCCUUCUCUUGUACUAUGAGGCUUCUAAACUAUUGGUCCAAUGACAUCUACUCCUAAAUGCCUAAUUGCUACUCUUCUCGUCAAGGAGAAAUUUUAGAUUGUUAAAAGAAAAUUUGGUAGUUGUAAUAUUUUGGGAUUCACUCAUGUAUACGUAUUUAAUUAUUAUUGAUUUAUCAUUUCAUGUGGACUAAUUUAUAUGGAAUCACAGGUAUCAUAUAAUUUCUUUUCUCCAUUUCAAGGGCAAGAGGGGUUGAUUUUCAUCUCUCGCUGCAUCUUUGAAAGAGUGGAACAAAGUCUAUGUGACUAACCUGGCUACUAAAAAAUGAAAAUGAUGAAACUUACCAAAUAGAUACAGUUCUCCAAGCAGAGUGGAA